rnacentral:lncRNA from 1 species
CAGCUCUGAAAUUCCAAUCCCGGGAACCUUCUCCGAAGAGAUUUGGAAUGGACCGGGGGCGGAGAGGGGGAGGAAGGAGGAGGAGAGGCGGAGAGGGGAGAGAGGGCAGAGACGGGGAGGAGGGAUGGGUUGUGUUUGCAGAAUACUACCAAACAGUGCUCGAGCUCGGACGUUCGUCCACCUCCGGGCUGUUUCCCCCGAACCUGGCUGAGUUGGAGAGGAGGGGGCGGCAGAGGGGGAGGAGAGAAGUGGAGGGCUGGUCCCCUGCUCGGGAGAGUUGAACCCCCCCUUUUCCCUCCCCCCCCCAAAAAAUAGGCUACAGGAUCCGCCAGGGAGGAGACAGGCCUUGGCCUGGGAGAGCCGGACCCAGGGAGGAUCUCGGGACCCCAGCGGCAAAGAGGGGGGCCGCUGUACCCCGAGCUUCACCGCUCCCUCCUAAGCCGCUGUGCCCCACUCUCGGAAAGCCUGAGGCUAAGCAGCCAUCCCCUCGCUCCACCUUCUCGCCAUCCCCAUCCCCCACGCUGACUUUCCCUUUCUUCGCUGCUCAGGUCUCACCACCUGGAGCUUUCAGGAGCAGGCCCGGCAAAGAUCCAGGCUCGAGGCACAGCAUCAGCUUGGGACAGCAUGAGAACACAGAAGAUUCAGUUACGCCAAUGCAUGAAAAAGACCAGACUGGUGGUUGUAAGUGCCCACCUUCCAUCCUGAGACGGAAACCACCAGAGUGCCCUAUAACAGGUGACAGGAGAAGGGCUGAGAGGCGGGUACGCUUCCAAGAGCCCGAGGAGACGACUGUGCAUGACAUCUCCUGUGCGGACACCCUCGUAGGACUUCUUCCAAAGUACAGCUAACUUGGGAGGAGCAUUGUGGUACAAAGGAAUGAGCAUUGCAGCUAGAGCAAAAGAACCUGGGUUCAAAUUCUGGCUCUGCCACUUGUUAUGUUUGUGACCAUGGGCAAGUCAUCUCACCCAUCUCCUGGGCCCAUUUCCUCGUCUGUAAAUUGAUGGGGCUCUAGACUAAACGACCUCUGAGGUCCCUUUUGCCACUAUAGCUAUGAUCUUGUGAGUGAUUCUCCUAUUUAGUUACAACUUCCUUGGAUCUUCUGAUUUCUUUUGUAGAAGGAAUGGGGAUAUUGAUCAUGCUUCAGUUCUUCCAGCAUUAUGUUGAUUCAUGGGUUGUUGGACAAAGAUCUCACACAUGGAGAGCAAUAGGCAAAUUAAUAUUUAUAUGAUCUUGGAGGGAGAGAGGUGGAGAGGGCUUCUUACGAAUAUGGAAUAUGCUAUACACAGUCAGAUGCAGUUACUUUGUCUGUUGGUUUUGCUUAAAGGUUUUUCCCAAAUGGAUGGGAAGGAGGUAAGAGGAUAGACAUUAAGAGGUAUAAAAUAAAGGACACUUUAAAAAAAUAAUGUUUAUAGAA